CCUACGGGUCGCACCAGUGGGGAAUAUUGCACAAUGGGCGCAAGCCUGAUGCAGCCAUGCCGCGUGUAUGAAGAAGGCCUUAGGGUUGUAAAGUACUUUCAGUUGGGAGGAAGGCGUUGAUGCUAAUAUCAUCAACGAUUGACGUUACCAACAGAAGAAGCACCGGCUAACUCCGUGCCAGCAGCCGCGGUAAUACGGAGGGUGCAAGCGUUAAUCGGAAUUACUGGGCGUAAAGCGCACGCAGGCGGUCUGUCAAGUCGGAUGUGAAAUCCCCGGGCUCAACCUGGGAACUGCAUUCGAAACUGGCAGGCUAGAGUCUUGUAGAGGGGGGUAGAAUUCCAGGUGUAGCGGUGAAAUGCGUAGAGAUCUGGAGGAAUACCGGUGGCGAAGGCGGCCCCCUGGACAAAGACUGACGCUCAGGUGCGAAAGCGUGGGGAGCAAACAGGAUUAGAUACCCGUGUAGUC
rnacentral:rRNA from 1 species